rnacentral:lncRNA from 1 species
GACACUUAAAGAUGAUUGAAGUGAUUCCUGUCUGUAUCUAUCAUAAUGCCCCUUUCCCCUUAACAGGGACAAACUAAAGAUACAAAGGUUAUGGCUUUCUUGAUUAAUCUAUGUGACAGGGGCAAAUUGCCUGUUUUCUUUUAUUCCUUUUUUUUUUUUUUCCUAUAGAGUGCCAGAGGCAGGGAAUUCCUAUGCUUCACUAGUGACUCAUAAGAAAACUUAAUAGAAGGUCUCUACUGCCUGCUGGCCCUGCAGUACCUGAUUGAUGUGGUCCCAAACUAAAGUAGGCUAACCUUCAUUGAACCAAGCACUUCAGAGCCAUGGGAAGAAGUAUGGGGGAAGGAGUCCUUGUACUCUGGCAAUGAGGAAAACAAACAUUAACAGUGCAAGACACAGUGAGAGUCACAGAUCCAUGGAUGGACGAUCCUUUUGAGGACAAUAGAGGGGGAAUUUGGAUAAGUUUCCUGAGUGAGAAACCUUCCAGAUGGCAAUCUGAAAGUUAGCUGUUCCUUCUCAAAACACAGAGCUUUCUCAAGAGAAAGAUAACACCCUCUUUCAUCAGAGCGAGCGAGGACUUUGCUGGUUACUAGACAUUUCGAGCUGAC